rnacentral:rRNA from 1 species
UUUUAAUGAGAGUUUGAUCCUGGCUCAGGACGAACGCUGGCGGCGUGCCUAAUACAUGCAAGUAGAACGCUGAAGGAGGAGCUUGCUUCUCUGGAUGAGUUGCGAACGGGUGAGUAACGCGUAGGUAACCUGCCUGGUAGCGGGGGAUAACUAUUGGAAACGAUAGCUAAUACCGCAUAAGAGUAGAUGUUGCAUGACAUUUGCU